rnacentral:rRNA from 1 species
CGAAGGGUGCAAGCGUUGCUCGGAAUUAUUGGGCGUAAAGGGUAGGUAGGUGGUUACGUAUGUCUGGGGUGAAAUCCCUGAGCUCAACUCAGGAAGUGCCUUGGAAACGGCGUAACUAGAGUGCUAGAGAGGUUCGUGGAAUUCCCAGUGUAGCGGUGAAAUGCGUAGAGAUUGGGAGGAACACCAGAGGCGAAGGCGGCGAACUGGAUAGCAACUGACACUGAACUACGAAAGCGUGGGUAGCAAACAGGAUUAGAUACCCUGGUAGUCCACGCUGUAAACGAUGGGUACUAGGCUUCGUGGGAGUUGACCCCUGCGGAGCCGGAGCUAACGCAAUAAGUACCCCGCCUGGGAAGUACGGUCGCAAGACU